CAACGUUUUAUGAGCAGGAAGAUCCUCAUCUUGGAUUUGGAGACUUGCCAAUUUAUCUUCAAACGGUACAUCUUUCAAUACAGAUGGCUCGUUAGACAACCAUUUUCUAAGAUUAAAACCAGCUUUGCGUAAGACGACCGACAGUUCACUUUGUAGAACUUGGGCUUCUUGGGUGGUCUCACACGAAUCGAGAACGUCGUCCACGUACAUCGAGUUGUCGACUGUCUCGGCAGCAUUUGGAUACUCUGUGGCAGGGGCGUAGGAAGCGGGGGGCACGGGGGGCACGUGCCCCCCCCAAAUUUUUUUAAAGGACUAAAAGUGCCCUUUUUUGUGAUAAAAAGUGCCCUUUUUGUGUUGA